UUUAUACAAUUUUUAAUGAUUUUCCCAAUUCAGAAUAGGGAAUUCCAAAAUCAAUCUGACAUUGUCUCACAAAAAUUCAAAUUCAUACCAAAUUAGUCAAAUCCUAUUUUAUACCAUAGCCAAAUCUAAAUUUAUUUAUUUCAUCCUUACAUUUACAAUUUCAAAAUGACAUACACAUAAGACAUCCUAGGUACAUGCCAUUACCAAUAAUUAACACACUUUACCUUAAUGAAUUCGGGAUCGGACUGGGAUGCUGAUUCAACGUUCUAUCUUUACUAAACCUGCGCACGGAAACAAACCGUACGCUGAGUAUGGUAUACUCAGUGGUAUUUCUUAAAUCCGAACACUUGAUAAUAUAACAAUUAAACUUAAAAUCACAAUGAUAAAUAUAACCAUUCAUUUAUUUAUUUUAUAGAUAAGUUUCAUUUACUUACCAUAAAAAUUCUAUACAAGCCAUAUAACAAACACAACAACAUAUUUGCUCAAUUCUUUUCAUUUGCUUACUGUAUAAAUUCUUUCAAUACAUUCACAAUUCACUUGUAUUCACACUUUACUUCUUAACAAUAUAUCAUUUUAAUUCAUUCUAACAUCAAUCAUCAUCCAUUUGAACUUCACUCAUUUCAUGAACCUUUUGGUUCAUGUUUUCAAUCUCAUAUCUCAAUUUCAAUUCUCAAUUCAAUUUCUCAUUUCAUUCCAAUAGUUCAAUCAAUCAAAUUCACUCGAUUUAUCUUUUCACUUAUUUACCCUUAUUAACAAACCCGGACUUUGACGGAUACACGGAUUCCAACCCAAACACACCAGUACGGCACAUUGUGCCUAAAACGGUACACAGUACCUGAUCAGUAUACGACACAUAAAGUGCCUAAAACGACACACGAGGUGCCUGAAAUACGACACAUAAAGUGCCUAAUCGGUAAAGCCGGCAAAUCCCGUACACUUUCAGAUCCUAUGGCAUGCCAAUUAUAUCCUACUUAGCCCGACUAGUUAAUAGGGUAUUUCAUCCACUUUCUCAAUUUAAUAAUUCUUUCAUCAAUAUCUCAUUCAGAUAAUUACAUAUAUUUACCCAUUUUCACAAUUCAUACAAUUUCAUUCAAUUCAACAAUAUAUUUCAAUUAUUCACAUUAAUUCAUAAUUCAAUACAAUUCAAUUCAUUUUUCAAUAUCAAAUAUUCAAAUAUCACAAUCUCAUAUAUUCAUACCAAUUUCCUCAUAUUUCCAAUCAAUAUAUUUUUCAAUAUAACAUUCAUUCAAUAUUCAAAUUUCUACAUAAAUCAUAUAUAUUAUAUAAUUCAAUCAAUAUAAAUUCAAUCAAAAUAAUUUCAAUCAAUAUAAAUUCAAUAAAACAGAUAUUCAUAAAUCAAUUCAAUAUAAAUUUAUCACACACUAAAUCAAUUCAUUUCAAUUAUAAAGACACAAUACAAAUAAUUCCCAUCUUAAUUAUUUAUCAUAAUAUUUAUCCAAAAUUCAAUUAUCAUAAUUGCAUAAUAUCUCAUUCACACACACACACACACACACACAUAUAUAUAUACAUAUAUAUAUUUAUAAUAUAUAAUUCAAUUUAAUUCAAUCAAUAUAAAUUCAUCACAUACCAAAUUAAUCCAUUUCCAUUAUAAACACAAUAAUUCUCACUUCAACAUUUAUUAAAUGCAUUGAAUAAAAAAAAUAUAACAAUUAAUAACUAGGUUCGGAUUAUAGAAAUACAAACCGUAUUUUCUCGAGCUAACUCCCUUUGUCUUUGCCAUUUUUUCCUUGCUUAGCCGAGGUUUCCCGAGACAACAUUAGCUACGGGAAUUAAAACAAUUCAUAUUCGUUAAUUCACUACUAAUUUAUAUCUAAUUAAUACAAUUUUUAUUCAAUUUCUACUUUAAUUUCAAUUUAAUCUUAACUAGAUUUACUUACUUUUUCUAUCUCAAUUCAUACUUCAUUUCUAUUCAAAUUUUGUCUAAACUCAUACUUAACUAUUAAAUUUCCAGCAUCUUUUCAUAAUUUCGAAUUUAUUUCCAUUUAAUCCCUAAAACUCAAAACUUAUAGCUUAGUUUACGAUUCAAUCCUUUAUUCAAUUCCAAUCAAAAUUUCUAUCAAAUAAACCCCCAAUUCCAUCAUUUUAUUCAACAUGAACCAUACUUAGAAAUCUAAUGACUUUCAAAAUUUCUACUUAAAACAAGUAGUAUUUAUCUCUAAGAUUCCAAAAACUCAAAAAUCAUAAGAAAAGGGGCUAAAUUAACUUACCAAAUUAACUUGGAACCUUUAAAACCUUAUUUUUCCCUUUUUCUUUUCUUCCUUUCUCCCUUCUCUGUUUCGUCCCCUGCUAUUCUGUUUCUUUCCUC
rnacentral:lncRNA from 1 species